UACGGAGGGUGCAAGCGUUAUCCGGAAUCAUUGGGUUUAAAGGGUCCGUAGGCGGACUAAUAAGUCAGGGGUGAAAUCCAACAGCUUAACUGUUGAACUGCCCUUGAUACUGUUAGUCUUGAAUUAUAUGGAAGUAGAUAGAAUGUGUAGUGUAGCGGUGAAAUGCUUAGAGAUUACACAGAAUACCGAUUGCGAAGGCAGUCUACUACGUAUAUAUUGACGCUAAUGGACGAAAGCGUGGGGAGCGAACAGG
rnacentral:rRNA from 1 species